AUCCUUUAGUAGUUCAUGAGUGUGAUAAUUGGGUGUUCACGCUCUUGAGUGACAUGUGCCUCCCACAAACCUUGUUACAACGUCAGCACACUACCCAUCUGACA